rnacentral:sRNA from 1 species
GCUGGGCAUGGUGGCUCAUGUCUGUAAUCCCAGCACCUUGGGAGGCUGAGGUGGGUGGAUUGCUUGAGGCCAGGAGUUUGAGACCAGCCUGGCCAACAUGGUGAAACCCCAUCUCUA